rnacentral:rRNA from 2 species
UACGGAGGAUGCGAGCGUUAUCCGGAUUUAUUGGGUUUAAAGGGUGCGUAGGCGGAUUAAUAAGUCAGUGGUGAAAACCUUCAGCUUAACUGGAGACUUGCCAUUGAUACUGUUAGUCUUGAGUACGGUCAAGGUAGGCGGAAUGUGUAAUGUAGCGGUGAAAUGCUUAGAUAUUACACAGAACACCGAUUGCGAAGGCAGCUUACUGGGCCAUUACUGACGCUGAUGCACGAAAGCGUGGGGAGCGAACAGG